rnacentral:lncRNA from 1 species
GAUGAAGAAUAUUAGAGAUGACGUUAUAUGCUUAAGGCUUUAGCUAGCAUUUUAAGCUCUAAAGUCUACAUUAAAAUAAAGGGUUCCUUGUAGUGGACAAACCAAUUUCAAAGCAAAAAUUAAUAAAAUAAAAUAAAAAUCUAGAUAUAAGAAAAGGAAAUUCCUUAUCCCUAAUGUAGCGUUCCCUGUUCCCUUUGUUUGAGUAACUGUAGAAAUUGGGGGCCCUAUUAGAUGUACGG